AAUGGCUGACAACAAUGAAACAGCCAGGAGAGCAGUGACGAUGAUUCUGACAAUGUCACUGCUCUUCUGGCUGUUUCAUUGUUGUCAGCCAUU
rnacentral:pre_miRNA from 1 species